GGGCUCCUUCGGGAGGAUGGGCAGAAUAUAAAAUAAAUAACAGUGACAACUGUUGCCAGCUUUGUCAGGUUUUGUACUGCACGUAGAACACAGCACCUGCUAGUCUGGUCAUCUUUUGGCAUCUUUUCCUACACCUCAGUCAGCAAAGUGCCUUAGUGAAGGCAUGGAGAGGAGUUGAAAAUGUUUGUCCACAAAGUUUGUUUCUCAGUGAUCCUGGGGGCACAGACUUCCUUCCGAGUAACAGUGACUUUGGUGACAUGUUGGUGAAAGGGGCCCACACCAUAAUGCUGGCAGUCCUUCCGGGUGUAGUAACUUCAGCAACUGGGCUUUUCCACAGCCACUUCUCCUCAGCAGGAACUGUGGCACUUUUGCAAUGACGGCCAUUGCUCUCUCAAGGCACAGCCUUCUCAAUGCCACAUCCUCCCACACCCUGGGUAUGAGAUAGUUAUUUAGCCUAUUAGUAGGGAAGUGGAGGACCUAACAAGCUCUCUCAGUUGCCCUGUGAUGUUUAGAUAAAGGGGGAUAUAGAAAACAAAUAAACAAAUGGGGCCCCCUUCUUCCCCCACCCUCUUAACCUAGAUGGGGCUGUCAUUUCUUAAACGGGUCACAGAUUGUAUUGGAGAAAUACAAUUUAUUUAACCAAAUAGUAGCAAACAGAAGUGUUCAGGGUAAACAAAAGAAAAUAGACAAGCGCGCCCCAUAUAAAGAGAAGGCCUUGUAGUAUAGUUUAAAAAAACACCAAAAAACAGUAAUGAAUUCUAGCUGAGGCCUAGUUAAGCCUGAACUCUGCAAGAUAUUUCCUCAUCUCUGAGAGGCCUGCUUGCGAAGUAAUUAUUUUGAGAUCUCCCUUUUCUCUCUCCAAAGUACUGUAUACUGUUUGUCAACAUUGAUGCGGCCUUGUCCUUGUGCGAAUCCCAAACUAAUUCCUCCCCACAACUCAGGCUGUAAAGCAUCAAGGUAUAUUUCCAAUGGCUUGAUGUAGGUGAACUGUAGGUGACCUCAGACUACUUAAAUCAUUUUGCAGUUUGAACAAAGGGAGCUGGCACUGAAUAUUUACUGGAUGCUAGUGGGCAUUUAUGUCUUUUUAAAAUCUUUCCCCCUUGCAAUCUCAUCUCACUAGCUCCCUCAGUCUUAGUUACUUCUCUUUCCUCACACCCAACUCUAGCUCUAACCCUGAU